rnacentral:rRNA from 1 species
UACGUAGGCAGCGAGCGUUGUUCGGAGUUACUGGGCGUAAAGGGUGUGUAGGCGGUUGUUUAAGUUUGGUGUGAAAUCUCCCGGCUCAACCGGGAGGGUGCGCCGAAUACUGAAUGACUAGAGUGCGGGAGAGGAAAGUGGAAUUCCUGGUGUAGCGGUGAAAUGCGUAGAUAUCAGGAGGAACACCGGUGGUGUAGACGGCUUUCUGGACCGUAACUGACGCUGAGACACGAAAGCGUGGGGAGCAAACAGG